CGUGUAGGCGGCCCGAUAAGUCCGCUGUGAAAGUCCAGGGCUCAACCCUGGGAUGCCGGUGGAUACUGUCGGGCUCGAGUCCGGAAGAGGAGUGUGGAAUUCCUGGUGUAGCGGUGAAAUGCGCAGAUAUCAGGAGGAACACCAAUGGCGAAGGCAGCACUCUGGGACGUGACUGACGCUGAGACGCGAAAGCGUGGGGAGCAAACA
rnacentral:rRNA from 1 species